CUCCCGGAAUCCGAGCGUGGGUCCGGGGCCGGGAAGAAAAGAAAGUCACCCAGGACUACAAUUCCCACAAUGCACUACAUGGGCUUCUCUCGACGUGUGCUCUUGGAAAACGUAGUACAUUGUGGGGCAAGAUUUAAAAAUGCAGGAGGGAGGUAGGAGGGCCAAAGUCAGAGAGAGAAGAGGAGAUGCUAUUUCUAAAAGAGGACCAUGAACCAAAGGAUGCAGAUAGACUCUAGAAGCUAGAAACAGCAAAGAAUGGAUUAUCCCUGGAGCCUCUGGAAGGAACACAGCCCUGCCAACUUCGUGAUUUUGGCCUUGGAAGGUCCAUUUUUGGACUUCUGACAUUCAGAACUGUCCAUAAAGACAGAGAUGAGAAAGCGACAUACAUUCAGGAUAUAGACUUGGUCCAAGGAGCAGAAAGAUACUCAGAUUCCCUUCUGGUUUAUGUGGAAGACGGUCAUGUUAAAUUUCUCUUGAGAACACUCAUUGAGAGGGCCUCCAGGCCUUUCCCAUCAUCAUUGCUGAUGGAGCCCAUGACCAACACUUACCACGGAGGUGUGGGGGAGCAAUGGGAAGGUAGGAACACCAUUUGGCCUGGCCUCUCAAAGGUUGGUACUGGCAAAUGAGGUUCUACCUAUAGUUAGUGCAUCAAGAAAGCCCAUUUGUUAGAAAUGCAUGAUAUAUACAUUGCAACAAUACGACGUUUCUUGAAACUGCCUUUUUUUUUUUUUUGCAUUUCUUCCUUUUAAAACAUCUAGGAACCCUAAAAACUGGUCUAGGCCUCUCUGUAUAGGUGAGAGGAGUAACAGAUAAUUUUUAUUGACUAACCUUUCAUUUCCAACCUCUUUCUCCCUUUUCUGUCUCUGUUAGAAAGGCUGUUAAAACAAAAACAAAAAAACAAAGAAAAAUGGAUUUUCUGGUCUGCCUUGAAGUCAGCAGGGGCCAUAUGAUAGUGUUGGGCAAUGAGAUAUAAGCCAAAAUCUGCUGUCUCUUCUUUUCCUUCUUCCUUAUUCCUCUCUGGGACUCAAACAUGAUGGCUGGCAAUGUGGCAGCCACUGGCAAUCAGGAGGCAACUGGCAUGAGAAUGAAGGCUAACAUGGUAAGGAUGGCAGAGAAAAAGAGGAUUCAGUAUCUGGUAGCAAUUUUGGGCCACUUUGCCAGCACUGAAAGUACUUACAGACUUCUUGCUAGGUGAGACAAGUACCUUAUACGUUUAAGCUGCUAUUAAUUAGAUUUUCUUGUACUCACAGAAAAAUGACUUUCUAUCUGAUAUAGAGAUUUUGCCAAAACCACCACUGAAACAAAUUCCAUAUGUAUUUGCUUCCUCACUACCUCCUACAAGUGGCUAAUUAAGCAGUCAUCCCAAAACACAGUUAAAACAACCAUAUACACAAAAUGCUGCAAGUCUGAAGUUAUCAGUUCUCCAGAGACCUAAUUAGAUAUAUCUUUGAAAAGGUAUAGACUGAUCAAAGCAUUUACCUUUGUGUUCCAGCCCCAAAGCCCCCUAUUUAAAAUGACUGUAAUUUUUCAUUUGAAUCGCCACUCUCUUCAUUAAAGGGGAAAGGGGAAAUCGCUUAUGAUUACUCAUUUUUGGGUCUUCAGAUCUUACUUUGAGUCUGGUAUACAGAAGGCAACCAGCAAAUGUUUAUCAUAUUGAUAAAUUGUGAUAACACCUUGCAAGGAAAAAUAACUUGCCAUUUAGGGGUUGUUCUUUUUUGUCCCUUUAUGAGAAGACUCCUCAGACUUUAUUAGGCUGCCCCAGUCCAUGGACAAUACUGACUCAGGCUGUUGCUAUCCUAAAGACGCCUUCUAGAAGUUGUCUAAGAUCUCCCAGUGGUGUGGAAGAGAUAAAAAGAAUAGGUAACUCAAAUUAGGGAGUUGUUUUUCUCAGAAGACUUCCCUCUUACAGUAACUGGCCAGCACUUCUAAUAACUGUAAGUGAGGAGUUGUUUGUUUCUAGAUUAUCUCUUCUUUCUUAGCUAUGUAACUCCAAAUGAGUAAUUUGUAGAAUCAUGUGGAAGUUUUCUCCUCUCUCCAUGUGGGUGAAUCUCAGGGCAUCUUCUGUAGGAGUUUGAAAGCCUCUGAGUUUGGAUUUGGCAUCCUAAACAGAAGGAUCAAAAUCCAGCCUUAACACCUUUUUGACUAAAACCACCUUAUAUCUGUGGUUGUUAAAAUAAAGCUUUCCUGUCGGCUCACCCAAAUUCUCUGUGGUGUCUCUGAGGACACAGCCCUGAAGGCUUCUGCCUUUACCUUUUACCUAUCAUUAAUGGUAUCAUUGAUGGUUGAGCUUUCACAACAAACUUAAGGUUGGACCAGACAUGCUAGCUGUCUGACCUUGGAUAAGUUACUUAACUUCUCUGAAUAUCAGUUUCCUCAUUUUUAAAAUGGGAAUUGUAGUAGUAUAGAUCUCAUCAGGUUGUUGUGAUGGUUCUAUGAGAUAAUACAUAUAUAAUGCUUAGCACAUUGCCUUGCAUUCCUAAACUCUCAAUAAAUGUUACUUGUUAUUCAUAAAAUUAACAUUGUUAAAUUGCCAAAAUGAAUAAUUAAUAUUUACUAAUAAAAUAAUAUUUACAGUGGUCUGACAAGGCUUUAUUUUAGAUUAAGGUGAAUAGUGCAGAUUUAUCUUCAAGGGGACAUGGCCUACACAUUCUAUUUUAAGCAAAUAAUUGAAAUGACUUAAAGAGUCUCUUUGGUUUUCUUGUUGUAUCUACUGGAUAGCCUGUUUGGAAACCGUGUCUAAGAACCAGAGUGUUAACCUAAAAAAGGGAUUAAAAGCCUUCUCUCCAAGCUAUCCUAGAAAAUAAUGGGAAGUAAAUAAUUCAUAUUCAACUCCACCUGGAUGAGAACACCAUUUAAGGUCAGUGUUAGAACAU